CCAAUAGCGUAUAUUAAAGUUGUUGCAGUUAAAAAGCUCGUAGUUGAAUUUCGGGGUUCUACCGUUGGUCGGGCUAUUGUCUGUACUGGCGUGUAGAAUUUCUACCUUCUGGGGAACUAUCAUGUUAUUAAUUUAGCGUGGUAGGAAACCAGGACCUUUACCUUGAAAAAAUUAGAGUGUUCAAAGCAGGCUUACGUCUGAAUACAUUAGCAUGGAAUUAUAACAUAGGACGGUGGUCCUGUUUUGUUGGUUUCUGAAUCACCGUAAUGAUUAAUAGGGAUAGUUUGGGGCAUUAAUAUUAAAUUUUCAGAGGUGAAAUUCUUGGAUUUAUUGAAGACCAACUACUGCGAAAGCAUUUGCCAAGGAUGUUUUCAUUAAUCAAGAACGAAAGUUAGGGGAUCGAAGACGAUCAGAUACCGUCGUAGUCUUAACCAUAAACUAUGCCGACUAGGGAUCGGACGAUGUUAAUUUUUCUUGACUCGUUCGGCGCCUUACG
rnacentral:rRNA from 1 species